rnacentral:lncRNA from 1 species
CCGCCCGGCCCCGCGCGCUGCAGCCACCGCCUCUUCUCGGCUUCCUCUUGCUUUCCAGUAACUCUCCUCCUGGGGAAAAGGCUUUUCACGGAGCAGGCUCGGAGCCUACGGGGCUGGCCUCGGACUGGAUGGGGCAAAUACAGCCUAUGCUCAGAAUUUCUCUGACUUCCCAUCUCUGAGAUGCCGGAUGCCCAGUUCCAUGGAAUCAUGGCAAGCGAGAAACUGUCGUUCAUAAGAGUUCAAGAAAAUGAAUAUUCUCUCAACUCCGUGAGGGCCAGUGGGUUCCAGAGGGUGCUCAACUUGCUGGAGUCAUCUCUGCUAUGGCUUUAUUUGCCAACAACAGAGAACUUGCUCUGCAGCAGCCCCAGGCUCUCUGGGGACCCCACAGGCUAUGCAGAUCCCCCACCCCAGAACCACAGAAGGAGACGGAGCAGAAGCACACCCCGUCUUCCAGGCCCAGGACAGCUGCUGAGCUCCAGGACACGGACUCUUGAAGGUUGAUUUUGACUACUUACUAAGCUCCAGCUGAACCAGUUCCACUUCUUUAACCUUCCCAUGAUCCCUGUGAGGGGUCUG